AACUGCACCGCAGAUGGAGGAGCCCGCGGCGCAUUAGCUAGUUGGUGGGGUAACGGCCGUACCAAGGCGACGAUGCGUAGCCGACCUGAGAGGGUGGACGGCCACACUGGGACUGAGACACGGCCCAGACUCCUACGGGAGGCAGCAGUAGGGAAUCUUCCGCAAUGGGACGCAAGCCUGACGGAGCAACGCCGCGUGAGCGAAGAAGGCCUUCGGGUUGUAAAAGCUCAGUCACUCGGGAAGAGCGGAUGAGGGAGUGGAAAGCCCUCGUCGAGACGGUACCGAGAGAGGAAGCCCCGGCUAACUACGUG
rnacentral:rRNA from 1 species